GUUGAUUUUUCUUGAAAAACAAGUAAAAUAAUUUCUCAAUAAGGCUACUCAGUCAGGUCUUAAAACAGGGUGGAAAACAGGCAUUUCAAUUUGCUGAGGUGGCACUUCAAUUACAAUAAAAAAAAAACAAUAUCAAACAAAAAGGGCAAAAGCAAGCUAAAACCAAACAGAUAUACAAAACCGACUGUUGCAAGGGGAAAAAAAUCAAUUCAGCCGCAUUUCCAAACACUCCCUCCUGCCGCCGCGCCUUCACCGAUCGAAGCACCCUUUGUCGACGAGUAGACCGCUAGUCACCGUCCAAGAAGUGGGAGAAAUGGUUAAAAAAAAGAACUUGUGUGUCUCCCACAUUUGAAAACCCAAAAAUCGACCGGUUUUUUUCCUGUUCUUCCUUCCAUAAUCUCGGAUCGUGGUCAAACAGUCUGACCAAGUGACUCCGUCAAUGUCUUCUCAGGAUGGUAGGUACGUGAGAUAAAAAGCUAGUCUUUCUGAUGAUUUGGCUCAAUGGAUUGAGAUUCCGAAAGAGUAGGUGCAAUCAUACAGUCCAGUGCUUGCGAUUCGUCCACCAUCCGAUUCUAAACCGAAGGAUAUUGUGGCCAAGAUAAAUAAGGGUUUGGAGUUAGAAAAAGUACAUAAAUGAGGGUUUGAGAGUUUAUCAGAAGGAGGAGCUUCGUAAUAGAAUGCAUUAUUCAAAUAGUGAUUGAAUUCCACCAAUUAAAGGCUUAAGGUAGAACAGAAGACAUCUAAAAGGCAAGAAUGUGGAGGAUCACAUGGAUAUGACAAUGCAAUUUUCUCCAUGAGGACCAUUUUUAUUGCUCAUGGACUUGAAUUUGCUUGGGGGAGAAAUGUCCCAUCUUUCGAGAAUGUGCAGAUCUACAACAUGGUUACGGCCAUCCUCAACAUUGUAGGAGCUAAUUACAAUGGGAAAGCAUCAUUUGCAUAGUCUAUUCUUUUGCCAAACCAUUGAAAAUUAUCCCGAGUGUUGACACUGAGUAACCAAACUGAAUUGGGUAUCGAGAGGCUUGGUUGUUGGAUACGCUGUGCUUAGGUAGUGUUUUAGUUGUGAUUUUAUGUAAUUCAUCAUGUAAAUUAUUAGUGAUUACUUAUUCAUUAGGUAUUCGCAAUUUGUGUAUUGUCUUGAAUUGGUAAAAUGACUGAGUUACACUUCAUCAGUUUUGGCUUCCACCGAGGCUUUGUUCGUUCAUAUGAUGCCUUCGUUUGUUUGCUAUAAUUAGGUAGUGUAUGCUGUGCUUAAGUAGUG
rnacentral:lncRNA from 1 species